rnacentral:rRNA from 1 species
AGAGUUUGAUCCUGGCUCAGAUUGAACGCUGGCGGCAGGCCUAACACAUGCAAGUCGAGCGGAAACGAGUUAUCUGAACCUUCGGGGAACGAUAACGGCGUCGAGCGGCGGACGGGUGAGUAAUGCCUAGGAAAUUGCCCUGAUGUGGGGGAUAACCAUUGGAAACGAUGGCUAAUACCGCAUGAUGCCUACGGGCCAAAGAGGGGGACCUUCGGGCCUCUCGCGUCAGGAUAUGCCUAGGUGGGAUUAGCUAGUUGGUGAGGUAAGGGCUCACCAAGGCAACGAUCCCUAGCUGGUCUGAGAGGAUGAUCAGCCACACUGGAACUGAGACACGGUCCAGACUCCUACGGGAGGCAGCAGUGGGGAAUAUUGCACAAUGGGCGCAAGCCUGAUGCAGCCAUGCCGCGUGUAUGAAGAAGGCCUUCGGGUUGUAAAGUACUUUCAGUCGUGAGGAAGGCGGCGUCGUUAAUAGCGGCGUUGUUUGACGUUAGCGACAGAAGAAGCACCGGCUAACUCCGUGCCAGCAGCCGCGGUAAUACGGAGGGUGCGAGCGUUAAUCGGAAUUACUGGGCGUAAAGCGCAUGCAGGUGGUUUGUUAAGUCAGAUGUGAAAGCCCGGGGCUCAACCUCGGAAUAGCAUUUGAAACUGGCAGACUAGA